CUGAGCUAAUACCGACAUGACAGAGUUUAUAGUUAAUACCAAAAAAACAAUGAAAAUUGCCAAAAGCGUCUCAAUGGUGUUACUCAAUUCGUCCUCUACAACAGCAUCUCCCAUGAGGACACAAUACUUUAGCGAAAAGUAUACAGUGAGAAAAUAGAUCAUCCAAGAAAAGGAUUUCUUUGUAAUUUUCUAUGAAUAGUC